rnacentral:rRNA from 1 species
GCUACGGCCAUACCAGCCUGGGUACGCCCGAUCUCGUCUGAUCUCGGAAGCUAAGCAGGGUCGGGCCUGGUUAGUACUUGGAUGGGAGACCGCCUGGGAAUACCAGGUUCUGUAAGCA